rnacentral:rRNA from 1 species
AACGAACGCUGGCGGCGUGCCUAACACAUGCAAGUCGAGCGCGAAAAGGGCAACCUGAGUAGAGCGGCGCACGGGUGCGUAACACGUGGGUAAUCUGCCUUAGAGUCGAGGAUAACCUUCCGAAAGGUUGGCUAAUACUCGGUCAGCUUACGGUGUCUUCGGACGCUGUGGGAAAAGUAGGCCUCUGUUUACAAGCUUACGCUCUGAGAUGAGCCCGCGGCCCAUCAGCUAGUUGGCGGUGUAACGGACCACCAAGGCAACGACGGUUAGCUGGUCGGGGAGGACGAGCAGCCACACUGGAACUGAGACACGCUCCAGACUCCUAGUGCAGGCAGCAGUGGGGAAUUUUCCACAAUGGACGAAAGCCUGAUGGAGCAACGCGGCGUGUGUGAUGAAGGUAUUCGGAUCGUAAAGCACUUUCGCCUGGGACGAAAAACCUUUGGCUAACAUCCAGGGGCCUGACGGUACCAGGAGCAGAAGCCCCGGCUAACUUCGUGCCAGCAGCCGCCGUAA